rnacentral:misc_RNA from 1 species
UCCUCGUUUAAGCGAGGCAGUCUGUCCAGAGUGCUCCUUACUCUCGUAAGGGUGGCAACAGGACACAAGGGUUGCGCUCGUUGCGGGACUUAACCCAACAUCUCACGACACGAGCUGACGACAGCCAUGCAGCACCUGUGUAAGCUCCCCUUGCGGGGUCGUCACCCUUUCAGGCUUCUACCACCUACAUGUCAAGGCCAGGUAAGGUUCUUCGCGUUGCAUCGAAUUAAGCCACAUACUCCACCGCUUGUGCAGGCCCCCGUCAAUUUCUUUGAGUUUUAAUCUUGCGACCGUACUUCCCAGGCGGCACAUUUAACGCGUUUGCUACGCCACGGACGGGGUCGAUUCCGCCCACAGCAAAUGUGCACCGUUUACGGCUAGGACUAC